GAUGAACGCUGGCGGCGUGCCUAAUACAUGCAAGUCGAGCGAACGGACGAGAAGCUUGCUUCUCUGAUGUUAGCGGCGGACGGGUGAGUAACACGUGGAUAACCUACCUAUAAGACUGGGAUAACUUCGGGAAACCGGAGCUAAUACCGGAUAAUAUUUUGAACCGCAUGGUUCAAAAGUGAAAGACGGUCUUGCUGUCACUUAUAGAUGGAUCCGCGCUGCAUUAGCUAGUUGGUAAGGUAACGGCUUACCAAGGCAACGAUGCAUAGCCGACCUGAGAGGGUGAUCGGCCACACUGGAACUGAGACACGGUCCAGACUCCUACGGGAGGCAGCAGUAGGGAAUCUUCCGCAAUGGGCGAAAGCCUGACGGAGCAACGCCGCGUGAGUGAUGAAGGUCUUCGGAUCGUAAAACUCUGUUAUUAGGGAAGAACAUAUGUGUAAGUAACUGUGCACAUCUUGACGGUACCUAAUCAGAAAGCCACGGCUAACUACGUGCCAGCAGCCGCGGUAAUACGUAGGUGGCAAGCGUUAUCCGGAAUUAUUGGGCGUAAAGCGCGCGUAGGCGGUUUUUUAAGUCUGAUGUGAAAGCCCACGGCUCAACCGUGGAGGGUCAUUGGAAACUGGAAAACUUGAGUGCAGAAGAGGAAAGUGGAAUUCCAUGUGUAGCGGUGAAAUGCGCAGAGAUAUGGAGGAACACCAGUGGCGAAGGCGACUUUCUGGUCUGUAACUGGCGCUGAUGUGCGAAAGCGUGGGGAUCAAACAGGAUUAGAUACCCUGGUAGUCCACGCCGUAAACGAUGAGUGCUAAGUGUUAGGGGGUUUCCGCCCCUUAGCGCUGCAGCUAACGCAUUAAGCACUCCGCCUGGGGAGUACGACCGCAAGGUUGAAACUCAAAGGAAUUGACGGGGACCCGCACAAGCGGUGGAGCAUGUGGUUUAAUUCGAAGCAACGCGAAGAACCUUACCAAAUCUUGACAUCCUUUGACAACUCUAGAGAUAGAGCCUUCCCCUUCGGGGGACAAAGUGACAGGUGGUGCAUGGUUGUCGUCAGCUCGUGUCGUGAGGUGUUGGGUUAAGUCCCGCAACGAGCGCAACCCUUAAGCUUAGUUGCCAUCAUUAAGUUGGGCACCCUAAGUUGACUGCCGGUGACAAACCGGAGGAAGGUGGGGAUGACGUCAAAUCAUCAUGCCCCUUAUGAUUUGGGCUACACACGUGCUACAAUGGACAAUACAAAGGGCAGCGAAACCGCGAGGUCAAGCAAAUCCCAUAAAGUUGUUCUCAGUUCGGAUUGUAGUCUGCAACUCGACUACAUGAAGCUGGAAUCGCUAGUAAUCGUAGAUCAGCAUGCUACGGUGAAUACGUUCCCGGGUCU
rnacentral:rRNA from 1 species